rnacentral:rRNA from 1 species
UCAGGAUGAACGCUGGCGGCGUGCUUAACACAUGCAAAGGUCGAACGGGGGCACCCCCAAAACGGAGUUUUCGGUACAACUGCGGGGAAUGCCUAGUGGCGGACGGGUGAGUAACGCGCGAGCAACCUGCCUUGGAGUGGGGAAGUAACAGAUGGAAACAUCUGCUAAUACCGCAUGAUGCAGUUGGGCCACAUGGCUCUGACUGCCAAAGAUUUAUCGCUCUGAGAUGGGCUCGCGUCUGAUUAGCUAGUUGGCGGGGCAACGGCCCACCAAGGCGACGAUCAGUAGCCGGACUGAGAGGUUGGCCGGCCACAUUGGGACUGAGACACGGCCCAGACUCCUACGGGAGGCAGCAGUGGGGAAUAUUGGGCAAUGGGCGCAAGCCUGACCCAGCAACGCCGCGUGAAGGAAGAAGGCUUUCGGGUCGUAAACUUCUUUUCUCAGGGACGAACAGAUGACGGUACCUGAGGAAUAAGCCACGGCUAACUACGUG